rnacentral:tRNA from 1 species
GAGGGUAUAGCUCAGUGCUAGAGCGCAUGCCUAGCAUGCAUGAGGUCCUGGGUUCAAGCCCCAGCACCUCCA